rnacentral:lncRNA from 1 species
AUGAGGAAUGUGGAAUGGAAAUGCGGGAGGGAACCUUCAGAUAGUGUUAUAUUUAUCUGUCCUGCUAAGAUACCGCCAGGGAGCACCCUGAGCCCAGAGAAACUCACUGGAGCGCAUACAAAACCCUCGCCUGCUACCAUAUUAGGAAUCAAAAUGUGUAGCAGAAGCCCACUGCCAAGUCGAGAUAAUCAACAGGGAAUGUUUAUGCCUUCAAGCCAAAUGAGUGCAGAAAAAUGAUCAAGGCGGC